GCAUCAUCUGUCCGCAUAAACUUUCUAUUCAACAUAUGAGUUAGCCUUGCACUAAAGCGCUAGCUUUUUGUUAGCUACAAUACUCAGAAAAUAUCUGUUAAAACAGCUAGCUAGCACCAUUAAUUUUGUGAAAUUGAUCUCUUUGGACACACCCUUUAAUUAUUCCUGUGGAUGUAAUGCGCAUGCGCGCUCAUUCCCCAUGUGUGUGAGAAAAUAAUAUCCAAGAUCCAGAUCCAGAUCCUCCUGGCAGAAUCAUCUUUGUCUUGAGGGCCUGGUCUUUUCUUCUUAGAUAUUAUAUACACUGAACUAUAGAUCCUGGAAGAAUCAAUUUUCUUCUUUCUUGAUGUCCUGGUAAGCCACAUAAUACAAUAAAUAACAACUUACAAUAGAUGCAUGUAAAUAAGUCUUUUCUUCUCAGUGACUUUAUAUAGAUAAGCUAACUUUAAUAUAAAAUUCAUUAUAGAUAACACUAAUACUUUUGAGCGAAAGCAAAAACAUGGCGAGAGGCAUUAGCACAGCGCCAGCUUGAACACUAGUUAUGUAGUGCAAUAAUAGUGUCUAUGAUCCUACUACAACUCCUUUCUCAAAAGUUUCAGCCUCUAGUCUAGUUUAAUUAUAUGGCUCCCGUUACCAGAUUAUACAUUGUACACUACUGUAUAACACUUUGAUUAUUUGUGUGG